rnacentral:rRNA from 1 species
AAGACCUUGCGCUUUUGGAGCGGCCGAUGUCUGAUUAGCUUGUUGGUGAGGUAAAAGCUUACCAAGGCUUCGAUCAGUAGCUGGUCUGAGAGGACGGCCAGCCACACUGGGACUGAGACACGGCCCAGACUCCUACGGGAGGCAGCAGUGGGGAAUUUUGGACAAUGGGCGCAAGCCUGAUCCAGCAAUGCCGCGUGCAGGAAGAAGGCCUUCGGGUUGUAAAGCUCUUUCGGCCGGAACGAAAUCGCAUCUCCUAAUACGGGGUGUGGAUGACGGUACCGGAAGAAGAAGCACCGGCUAACUACGUGCCAGCAGCCGCGGUAAUACGUAGGGUGCGAGCGUUAAUCGGAAUUACUGGGCGUAAAGCGUGCGCAGGCGGCUCUUCAAGUCAGAUGUGAAAGCCCCGGGCUUAACCUGGGAACU